GUACACGCUGUGACUAGCAUAUCAAUAAGCGGAGGAAAAGAAACUAACAAGGAUUCCCUAGUAACGGCGAGUGAAGCGGGAAGAGCUCAAAUUUGAAAUCUUAAAGGGUUUCCCUUUACGAAUUGUAGUUUAAAGAAGUGUUUUCUGUUAGAGGUUUCGGUAAAAGUUCUUUGGAAUAGGACAUCAUAGAGGGUGAGAAUCCCGUAUUUGACCUUUACUUUCAACUUUGUGAUACACUUUCAGAGAGUCGGAUUGUUUGGGAAUGCAGUCCAAAAUGGGUGGUAAAUUUCAUCUAAAGCUAAAUAUUGGCGAGAGACCGAUAGCGAACAAGUACCGUGAGGAAAGAUGAAAAGAACUUUGAAAAGAGAGUUAAACAGUACGUGAAAUUGUCAAAAGGGAAGCGUUUGACACCAGUGUUGUUUUUCUGAAAAUCAAUUAAAGAACUGUUUAUGCUAAGCUGUUUAGACUUUAUCAGCUAACUGUUUAGUUUUGAGCUUUUCUUUAAUGCACUUUUCAGUUAACAAGUCAACAUCAAUUUCUUUUGCUGUAAAAAAGCUUGAGGAAGGUGGCUUGAGAUUCGUCUUAAGUGUUUAUAGCCUCUUGCCUAUGCAGUCGGAGAGAUUGAGGUCUGCAGCGUAGAUCCUUCGGGGCUAAAUGCAUUUGUGCUAAGUUAUAGCAUUUUAUAGACAACUUGUUGACUAUGAUUUGUCUUGUAGCUUACUCGCUUAUGUUAUUUUACCUACGCUUAGGAUGUUGAGCGCAUGUCUCUCUCU
rnacentral:rRNA from 1 species